UACGAAGGGGGCUAGCGUUGCUCGGAAUCACUGGGCGUAAAGGGUGCGUAGGCGGGUCUUUUAAGUCAGGGGUGAAAUCCUGGAGCUCAACUCCAGAACUGCCUUUGAUACUGAAGGUCUUGAGUUCGGGAGAGGUGAGUGGAACUGCGAGUGUAGAGGUGAAAUUCGUAGAUAUUCGCAAGAACACCAGUGGCGAAGGCGGCUCACUGGCCCGAUACUGACGCUGAGGCACGAAAGCGUGGGGGAGCAAACAGG
rnacentral:rRNA from 1 species